AUCCAGCUAACGAGUCCCAAAUAGGACGGAACGCGUGUCAUGGGU
rnacentral:hammerhead_ribozyme from 1 species